UGGUACCUACGGGAGGCAGCAGUAGGGAAUCUUCGGCAAUGGGGGCAUCCCUGACCGAGCAACGCCGCGUGAGUGAAGGAGGUUUUCGGAUCGUAAAGCUCUGUUGUAAGAGAAGAACGUGUGUGAGAGUGGAAAGUUCACACAGUGACGGUAACUUACCAGAAAGGGACGGCUAACUACGUGCCAGCAGCCGCGGUAAUACGUAGGUCCCGAGCGUUAUCCGGAUUUAUUGGGCGUAAAGCGAGCGCAGGCGGUUGGAUAAGUCUGAAGUUUAAGGCUGUGGCUCAACCAUAGUA
rnacentral:rRNA from 1 species